CAUAGCUGUGAGUUCUGCCCCAUAGCACUAGGAUCUACCCCAUGGUAGUGAGUUCUGCCCCAUAGCGCUAGGCUCUGCCCCAUAGCAGUGAGUUCUGCCCCAUAGAGGUGAGUCCUGCCCCAUAACGGUGGGUUUUACCCCAUAGCAGUGAACUCAGCCCCAUAGCAGAGGGCUCUGCCCCAUAGCGGUGGGUUCUGCCCUAAAGAGGCGAGUUCUGCCCCAUAGCUGUGUGUUCAGCCCCAUAGCAGAGGGCUCUGCCCCAUAGCAGUGGGGUCUCGGGGGAGGUUGGGGACGUGGAGGUUUUGGGGCGGACUUUGGACCCCCGCUGCUGGGGGGGGUGGGGCUGAAGGGGGGGGUGGGGCCGUGAGGCUGAUGUGGGGCAGAGGGGGGGUUGAUGUGAGGCUGAUGUGGGGCUGAUAUGGGGCUGAUGUGGGGUCUGAUGUGGGUCUGAUGUGGGGCAGCUAUAGGACAGCUAUGGGGCUGAUGUGGGGCAGCUAUGGGGCAGAUGUGGGGCUGAUACGGAGCAGAUGUGGGGCGUAUGAGGGGCAGAUG